rnacentral:tRNA from 1 species
UCCUCGUUAGUAUAUCGGCUAGUAUGGCCGCCUUUCAUGCUCGAAGUGCGCGGUAGAGACGGGUUCGAUUCCCGUACGGGGAA